rnacentral:rRNA from 1 species
GAUGAAUGCUAGCGGCAGGCUUAAUACAUGCAAGUCGUGGGGCAGCAUGAGUAGCAAUACUUGAUGGCGACCGGCAAACGGGUGCGGAACACGUACACAACCUUCCGAUAAGUGGGGAAUAGCCCAGAGAAAUUUGGAUUAAUACCCCGUAACAUAUAGAGUAGGCAUCUUCUUUAUAUUAUAGCUUCGGCGCUUAUUGAUGGGUGUGCGUCUGAUUAGGUAGUUGGCGGGGUAACGGCCCACCAAGCCUACGAUCAGUAGCUGAUGUGAGAGCAGGAUCAGCCAAACGGGCACUGAGACACGGGCCCGACUCCUACGGGAGGCAGCAGUAAGGAAUAUUGGACAAUGGGCGAAAGCCUGAUCCAGCCAUGCCGCGUGAAGGAUUAAGGUCCUCUGGAUUGUAAACUUCUUUUAUUUGGGACGAAAAAAGGGAAUUCUUUCCCACUUGACGGUACCAAGUGAAUAAGCACCGGCUAACUCCGUGCCAGCCGCCGCCGUAA